GUCUUGUCUGGUCAUUUGAGCAAUGUUCACUUUGCCCGAAUUCUUCAAAUGUAGCAUAUUUCAGUGUGGAAAGCUGUGACAUGGUUUCUUUUAAAUGACUUUUGCCUCUCAUCACUUAAGAAAUCAUAGAAUUUUUACAAUGGUUUCCAACAAUAUACUGUUCCUGAGUUGAUUAUUUUAACGUGUUGGAAACAUGGAGUGUUUGAUUACAUACUGGCAUCUCUCCAACUGUCCAUCUUACCAAAGCCUUCAUGUAAAGAUGACAAUCAAUAAAGUGAUAAACUGUAAGUCCAAAAUAUUUUUGCAGAGGGCUCACUUGUUCUGGAACGGUUUAUAUGUUCCAUUUGAAAUAUUUGAUCACAAAUCUUAUUAUUUUAUCAGGUACACAAUUUGUCUCUAUUAGAGUAGAAAAAAUUAUUGUAAAGUAAUUGCAAUUGUUAAUUUCCUAAAAAAUU